CUCACGUAUAGGCGGUGAGAGCGUGUGACCAUUCUGUUUCUUUGUAUUGUCACACGUACUUUGGGACAGCAUUAAAGCGAAGCACGUAAUCUUUUUCUCUCGGUUUUAUGUCUCGCGUAGAGGAUGGAAGAUCGCCGCGACUCCCACCAUCUGUCGCGCUCCAUACUCUUCUCGCGCCAUUUCUCUACCGACAGGCUCUACCUUUAGAAAGCUCAAGCUCCUCUAACUUAUCGACCCUAUCGUUAUGUGUUAGUCACACGGAUAUACGGACAGCAUAUCCGCCGUUCGGUGACUAAUGUAGAAAAUAAAUUUGAAGAAAGAGAUUUGACGAAUGCGACAGUAUUGAAUACAAUGAAUACAAUGAAUGCUAGAAAAUGUGAAAAUGAAGAAUCGAAAAGUGCCGGUAACGAUAAUAUACCAAAUCAGGUAGAAUCACAAUUGGAAACGGGAAGUGUAUAUUCGAAUGAAGCAGGGAAUCUUCAAAAUUUUUACGAUACAAAGAAUCAGAAUAUGAACCAAAACACGCCGAAUACGAAAAAUAAAAGAAAAGCGUCGGAGAGUCCGUUGUUUGAGAACAUAACAAUGAAGAAAAACAAAGACAGGUUCCUACAAUGCGAAGAUGCAGCUCAGCAGAUCAUAGAUUCAAAGAGAAAGAAGAAUCUCAGCAUAAGUAGCGAAUACGACGUGUUCAAAUGGGAUUUAGAGGCCAUGGAGAAUUUUCAGAAGUUUGGAGACAUUGAGUUGGCACAUGAUUUAGACACUGUGGAAAUUGAUGACAGCAUCAUGAAAACGAGCAUCAAUAAGGAUCCACUAACAAAUCCCUUUUUUAUCAGUAAUCGUGAACAAAAGGAUAUUAAUAUGACAGAAUCCAAAGCAAAAUCUCCACCGAAAGAGAAAGUACAAAGAAGAAAAUCGGCUCGUCUUGCCAGCAAACAGAAUGAGACCAAUAAUGUUUCUAAUCUUUUUAUGAAGCAAGAAUGUCAUCUAGAAAAAGAGGAUUCCUUGGAAGAAUUGGAAGAUAUAAAACAAGAAGAAGAAGAGGAAUUAUCACCAAGUAUGAAACAGAAACUGCAAGAGUUACAUAUAACAUUAAUACAUGAGGUACCUCGGCAGCAUCAAUUAGAGCUUACUGGAGCUCAUGCACCAUCAAGACAGAUUAGAAACUUAUUUCAGGAAUAUGGACCGCUCCGAAAAGGUCCAUAUUCGCCUGCGGAAGACAAAAUUAUUAAGAAAAACUGGGAAAUGUUUUGUGAGCUUCACGAGUGGGAUCCCAAGAAUGUCGAAUUGUUUUUUUACUGGAGAUAUAAUAGAAUGUAUUAUAUAAAAAAUGUAAGCGAAAGACAAAAAUUCGUUCAAUUUCUGGCAAAUGGAUUACCUUGGCGACUCUGUAUAGCGUCCAUAACAGAUUUAAAAUAUUAUACCAAAUAAAAUCACUAACGUUAGAUAUACUUCAAAGGAGGAUAUAAAGAUUCUAACAUAUAUGAAAAAUAAACGUUUUCACAAACGUGCUGUUAAAUAUAUCGAAUUAGCGCUUACAUUACUAGGACGAACGGUACGGUCAGUCCGCAAACGUCAUCAAAAACUCAAAUCUAAGGCGAAACCGUUACAAAAUGUCACAUGGACAUUGCCAUUGAUCAAAAAGUUCAUAAAAACUUUGCUCAACGUUACGUUGAGUGAGGAUAUAAAAGAACUUAAAUGCGCUACUAUUCCCAAGCCAGUAUGGCAGAAAAUGGAACAGAAAUUAGAUAUACAAGAAAAUGUGCUGAAACAUUUUGGCAAAACCAGUUGCAUCUGCAGUUGUUCAGUACAAGUCCUAUCUAUUUGAACGACAUUAAGAUACAGCUAAUUGAAUAGUAUCAUGUACAUAAAGGGAUAUCGCACACUCGUAAAAUUAUAUGGCCCAAUGUUGCUCAAUAUUUUGAAGGGGCAACUGCCGAGUUUCUUUGUAAAGUUUUCUAUUAUCUUAUCAAGAAUGUGACUUGAAUGACUUUGAUAAUUUGACGAUUGUGGAAUACUUAUAUCAUAAAAAAUACCUGAAAUCCAAAAAAUGCAACAGACAAAUUUUUACUAGAUUUUUACGAAAGUAA